rnacentral:rRNA from 1 species
UACGUAGGGGGGCAAGCGUUGUCCGGAUUUAUUGGGCGUAAAGAGCGUGUAGGCGGCUUUACAGGUCCGUUGUGAAAACUCGAGGCUCAACCUCGAGACGCCGGUGGAAACCGUAAAGCUAGAGUCCGGAAGAGGAGAGUGGAAUUCCUGGUGUAGCGGUGAAAUGCGCAGAUAUCAGGAGGAACACCGAUGGCGAAGGCAGGUCUCUGGGCCGAUACUGACGCUGAGGAGCGAAAGCGUGGGGAGCGAACAGG